CCCGCCCCUCCUUUCCCCGCCGGGGUGAGGGAGGAGUGGGGCCGCAUCCCGGGAUGAGCCUGGCCCUGCCCUGGGGAAGGUUUCCUCGAGUCUGUCGCGCUCCACUGUCACCCCCCCACUCAACCCUGCUUCUGCUGACUUCAAGCCAUGACAGAAGAUGAUGUAUCGUACGUGUGUCGCAGUCAGCCCCGGCAACGCCACUAGUCCCAGAACGUCACAGGCCCAGGGAGAAGGACCGCGGGGGCUGUCUCGGUCUGGGCGACGUGGGUCCCGGAGGUCUCGGCCAGCCGCUGGCCAUGACGUUCUAGAUCCGGGGACGGAGUCGACAGUGCCCUGCAGCUCAGCUUGCACCAGCGCCCAGCCCCGCACCCCGGUCCUGCCCGGAGGCCACCACAGGGGCACAGCCCCGUCCUCCCAUCCGCCUGCAUUCUUCUUCCUCCCCUUGGCGCUUGGGCCAAGAGAGCUGCUUUCUCACUCUCCCUUGCUUUCUCUCCCUCUGGUGAGCACACGUGUCCU